UGUGUCAGCCGCCGCGGUAAUACGGAGGAUCCGAGCGUUAUCCGGAAUUAUUGGGUUUAAAGGGUGCGUAGGCGGCCAUUUAAGUCAGCGGUGAAAUUUUGCAGCUUAACUGUAACAGUGCCGUUGAUACUGUUUGGCUAGGAUUUGGUUGUAGUGUGCGGAAUGUGUGGUGUAGCGGUGAAAUGCUUAGAUAUCACACAGAACACCGAUUGCGAAGGCAGCACACUAAGUCAUUAUUGACGCUGAGGCACGAAAGUGUGGGGAUCAAACAGGAUUAGAUACCCUGGUAGUCCACACUGUAAACGAUGAUAACUCGCUGUCGGCGAUACACAGUCGGUGGCCAAGCGAAAGCAUUAAGUUAUCCACCUGGGGAGUACGACCGCAAGGUUGAAACUCAAAGGAAUUGACGGGGGCCCGCACAAGCGGAGGAACAUGUGGUUUAAUUCGAUGAUACGCGAGGAACCUUACCCGGGCUCGAACGGUGCAUGAAUAUACGAGAGAUUGUAUAGUCCUUCGGGACAUGUAUCGAGGUGCUGCAUGGUUGUCGUCAGCUCGUGCCGUGAGGUGUCGGCUUAAGUGCCAUAACGAGCGCAACCCUUGUCAUUAGUUGCCAUCAGGUCAAGCUGGGGACUUUAAUGAGACUGCCACCGUAAGGUGUGAGGAAGGGGGGGAUGACGUCAAAUCAGCACGGCCCUUAUGUCCGGGGCGACACACGUGUUACAAUGGGAGGUACAGAGGGCAGCUAUCCGGUGACGGAAUGCUAAUCUCCAAAACCUUUCUCAGUUCGGAUUGGAGUCUGCAACUCGACUCCAUGAAGGUGGAUUCGCUAGUAAUCGCGCAUCAGCCAUGGCGCGGUGAAUACGUUCCCGGGCCUUGUACACACCGCCCGUCAAGCCAUGGAAGCUUGGGGUGCCUGAAGUUCGUGACCGCAAGGAGCGACCUAAGGCAAAACAGGUAACUGGGGCUAAGUCGUAACAAGGUAACCA
rnacentral:rRNA from 1 species